rnacentral:tRNA from 1 species
CUGGCGGCUGGGGUGACCGUUUCCCCCCUCCUCUUCAGAGGAGGGGCUGGGGGUGGUGCGAAGUCUCGCGCUAGGCC